rnacentral:misc_RNA from 1 species
UCACGUCUUACGACGGCAGUUUCACUAGAGUUCCCAGCGUUACCUGAUGGCAACUAGUGAUGGGGGUUGCGCUCGUUGCGGGACUUAACCCAACACCUCACGGCACGAGCUGACGACAGCCAUGCAGCACCUAAACCGGCGGUCCCCGAAGGGAAAGUCCUAUUUCUAGGACGGUCCGCCGUUGUCUAGCCCAGGUAAGGUUCUUCGCGUUGCGUCGAAUUGAACCACAUGCUCCACCGCUUGUGCGGGCCCCCGUCAAUUCCUUUGAGUUUCAGCCUUGCGGCCGUACUCCCCAGGCGGGGCACUUAAUGCGUUAGCGCCGGCACCCGGAGGGUCGCUCCCCCGGGCACCUAGUGCCCAUCGUUUACGGCGUGGACUAC